GACGAACGCUGGCGGCGUGCUUAACACAUGCAAGUCGAACGGAAAGGCCCUGCUUUUGUGGGGUGCUCGAGUGGCGAACGGGUGAGUAACACGUGAGUAACCUGCCCUUGACUUUGGGAUAACUUCAGGAAACUGGGGCUAAUACCGGAUAGGAGCUCCUGCUGCAUGGUGGGGGUUGGAAAGUUUCGGCGGUUGGGGCUGGACUCGCGGCUUAUCAGCUUGUUGGUGGGGUAGUGGCUUACCAAGGCUUUGACGGGUAGCCGGCCUGAGAGGGUGACCGGCCACAUUGGGACUGAGAUACGGCCCAGACUCCUACGGGAGGCAGCAGUGGGGAAUAUUGCACAAUGGGCGGAAGCCUGAUGCAGCAACGCCGCGUGCGGGAUACCGGCCUUCGGGUUGUAAACCGCUUUCGCCUGUGACGAAGAGUGAGUGACGGUAAUGGGUAAAGAAGCACCGGCUAACUACGUG
rnacentral:rRNA from 1 species